rnacentral:rRNA from 1 species
AUUGAACGCUGGCGGCAGGCCUAACACAUGCAAGUCGAGCGGAGCGGCGGAAGGGGGAGUAAUACCUAGGAAUCUGCCCGGUAGUGGUGGAUACCGAUCAGAAACGUACGCUAAUACCGCAUACUCUCAGCGUAGCCUCGGGCGACUUAGCGAGGUGGUGAGGGAGUGGCUCACCAAGGCUAAGAUACGUAACUGGACUGAGAGGACGAUCAGUCACACUGGAACUGAGACACGGUCCAGACUCCUACGGGAGGCAGCAGUGGGGAAUAUUGGACAAUGGGCGAAAGCCUGAUCCAGCCAUGCCGCGUGUGUGAAGAAGGUCUUCGGAUUGUAAAGCACUUUUAGUUGGGAGGCGUUAUCUACAGAAUAAGCACCGGCUAACUCUGUGCCAGCAGCCGCGGUAAUAC